rnacentral:rRNA from 1 species
UACGGAGGAUCCGAGCGUUAUCCGGAUUUAUUGGGUUUAAAGGGUGCGUAGGCGGCGAGUUAAGUCAGCGGUAAAAGCCCGGGGCUCAACCCCGGCCCGCCGUUGAAACUGGCAGUCUUGAGUGCAGUAGAGGUAGGCGGAAUUCGUGGUGUAGCGGUGAAAUGCUUAGAUAUCACGAAGAACUCCGAUUGCGAAGGCAGCUUACUGGACGGUAACUGACGCUGAGGCUCGAAAGCGUGGGGAGCAAACAGG